rnacentral:rRNA from 1 species
GUAUAGGAGAAACAAGAAGUAGAAGAGAAAUAAAAGAGACAGAAGAGGAGUUAUGAGAGAAAAGAUGGAAGUAAUAGAAGUGGUAAGUGGAGUAAUAAUGAAUCAUAUGAAAGAAGGAAUGGAGAAUAUAAGGAAGGAUUACAUGAAGGAGGAGAUAAUAGGAGAAAUGAUAAGGUGGAUAUAUAUAUCGAUAAUAAGUGUGAUAGUAAUAUAAAGGAGGAGAAAGAGAGGAAAGAGGUGUAUGAUGCAGGCAAAGAAGUGACGCAGUAGAUCAGAGAGUAACACAUGCAAGUAGGUAAAGCGAACGGGUGAGUAAAGAGGUGUGAAAGAGUGGAAGAACAUGAAAGCACAGAAGAAUGUAAGAAAUGGUUAGAGUAAAAACCAUAAAGGAAGUAAAAGCGGGAAUCUGAGAGGAGGAAAGCCACAUUGGAACUGAGAAAAGGUCCAAACAAGAGAAGUCAGCAGUGGGGAAAAUUGGGCAAUGUACAGGGAAGUAUGACCCAGUAAUGAGGAGUGGAGUAAACAGAAAAGGAAGUAAAAGGAGGGAAUGAAGGGAAGUUAUGGCAAAAACACGUGCCAGCAGCAGCGGUAAAACGUGUGUAGCAAGCGUAGAGCAGAAGAACUGGGUGUAAAGGUCGAGUAGUAGAGUAAGUGUAAAAGGGAAAGGAAAGGAGAGAAAGAGGAAAGGGAUGAAAUGCAGAGAUCUCUAGAGAAAGGCAAGAAAGAAAAGAAAGGAAGACACAGUAAAUGAGGCGAGAAAGCAUAGGAAGUGAAACGGAUUAGGAACCCGUGUAGUCUAUGCAGUAAAAGAAAGAAUGAGUAAGAAAAAAGGGAGUCAUUCCACCAGGGGAGUAAAGGCGCAAGAAAGAAACCCAAAGCAAUUGACGGGAAUCGGAAAAAGGGGUGGAUCACGUAAAUUAAUCCGAUGUAAACCGAGAACCUUACCUCUCCAAGAAGGUGUUGCACGGCUGUCGAAAGAACGUGCUGUGAAGUGAGAGAACGUACGAGAAAGCCAAGUGAGGAAAAGAAGGCAAGUAGAGGGCGGCCCGAGAAAGGAGAGGGCGUAAGACGUGAUACAGAGUAGGAAGAAAAGAGAAGAGAGCUAGAAAGGAGGUAAAAGAAGAGUAAAAGGACUAGAAGAGGUACGGAAUUCACGAGGAAGGAGCGUGAAGGAAGGAGGAAUCCCAAGUAAUCGAGGAAGAAAAAGCUUCGGUGAAAGCGUGAACGGAUUUUGUACACACUGCCCGUCAAGUUCUGGAAGUGUGCUAGGAAUAAGCAGGAGAAGUAGAAGAGAGUAGGAAAAGAAGAAAGGAAGUGAAGACGUAAGACGUGAAAAAAAAGCGUAUGACUGGGAUUAAGUCGUAACAAGGUAGGCGUAGGAGAACCUGUGGCUGUAAGA